GCAGCUGUACAUCCCACUCGUCUGAUUGGCUGAAAGCAGCUCCAGGUCCCGCCUCUGAGGCUUUAUGAAAGCAUCCUCUGCUCUGUUCAUCACUCUGCUGAUCACACUGACAUCAUGCUGCUCUCCGUCUGCACUCUGCUCUCUGCUCUGGCGUUGGUCAGUUCACACAAAGCUGUGACACAACAGCCUUCGGUUAUAACAGCAGAUGUGGGUAAAACUGUCACUAUGGACUGUAACAUCGCAAAGGAUGAAGGUCAAUAUGUCAUGUGGUAUAAACAGAUUCCACAAGAAGCUCCAGAGUUUGUGCUGAGAUUUUAUCAUUCUCUCAGCUCUCCUGAUAAAUAUGGAGAUAAUUUUUCAUCCACACGCUUCACAUCUAAAGCUCCUACAAAUAUCGACUAUCAGAUAAUAAUCAGUAAUGUGGAGGUGGGAGACUCAGCAGUGUAUUACUGUCACACAUGGGACGACUCUGCUAAAGAAUACGUAUCACAGUGAUGUACACCAUGACAAAAACCUCCUCACUGCUCACACUCACUUCUGCUUUCACACAACACCAGAAAGAACAAAAACCUCAACUUCAAAUCAUUAGAACUGAAGUGGAAACUCACUUAAUGUUCACUGAAGACACUUUGAAUUCUUCACAUGUAAAGAUCACAGAUACGGUACGACUUUUUAUUCCACUUUUAUGUAAACAGACACAGAUGGUUGAUGAUUCCAUCAUGUUCUCAGCUCAGUUGUUUGUCUGUAAUGAUCUCAGUGUGAUCAGGUGAUCUACAUACGAGAGCUUUCCCACUGAUUCCCUCUGAUGGUUGUGAUUAGUGACAUUUCCUGACAGAUACCUGAUGUGGUCAGAAAGUGGCAGAAAGUAAAUCCAUGAGAUGUUUGAAGUAACUUAAAGUUAUCUUCUGUAAUUCAGACCAAGAGACAUUUGUAACAGCAGGAUUCCAGGCCACACUGUUUCACUGUGAUCUCCACUGAAACGCUUAAACACUCAGUCAUAAGGUUUUCUCUACAAUCUAUGGACAAAUGGAUGCAGUGGAUUUCUAAGAUGUGGCAGUAAUUUGGACCAGAACUGUUCUGAACCGUGGCAUCAGGAAUGUGGGUCAGAGAGACUCUCAGGAUUAUUUGGGCAUUUUAAUAUAAAAUAAAAAUUCUUAUCAGAACAU